CUAUGUAUUUUAAUCUUCUUAAACGAAAAGGAUUAAUCUUUACACUUGGGGGAACAAAUUAUUAAUUAUUAAUAUAUAAACAUACAAGACUACUUAAAGCCAAAUAACACAAUCCGUAACAAAGAUAAUUAAUAAAACUAUUUUUAACAAAAUCAUCACAACAAAGUUAACAAGAAAAUAUGUAGUAACAACAUCAACAUCAACAUCAACAUCAACAUCAACAGCAACAUCAAUAGCAACAACCUAACAAAUGUUUGUUCGUUCGCUAUUAAAAAAAAAAAAACUGUUAUCCAAUUUUCCUAAAUUUUUCUAACCGUUCUUUAUUUUUCACUCUUUUUCCUUACUUUCUUUCUUCUGUUUCCAGGUUUUCCGUCUAUUUUUGCUUCUUAUGGGUUGUCUCAUGCAUGUAAUUUUGUAUGUGUGCAGGUCUCUUCUUUUUUUUUUUUUUGAAAAGUUUUGUGUGGGAUAUGUAAAUGUGUGCAUGUGUGUGCAUUUUUUUUAAAAAAAAUUCUCCAUGCAUGUUUAGGUCCACAUGUUAGGAUUUAUCAUGGCUACUUAAUUACACAAUUUAUGAAAGUAACUUUACAAUUUUUUAACAUUAUUAAUUUAUAAAAUUAUCUCAUUUACAAUUCAAAACUAACCUAAUCAAUAUUAUUUCGUAAACAACUAGAGAAUUACAAAUAAAGACAUAGAGCAUGAACUACAUAAAAAUAACAAAUUAAACAUACUAAAUUAUAUAAUAACUUCAUUCAUGAUUCUAUUUAUAUCAAUAUUUAUAAAGGAAAAGUACAUAAUUUGAUAGAAAUCUGUAUAAUGAGUUAAACCGAGUAAAAGAAAAGCAAUAAUAUCAUGACCAAAAACUUAAACGGAGAUCCGACAUCCACUUUUUUUUUUCUUUUUCUUCCAAUUUUUCUCCUUUUCUUGUUGUUGUCCAUUUCUUCUUCUUGUUUUGUUUUUCUCUUCUUUAACUUUUUCUCUCAGUUUUGAUUUUUCCUUUUUCCACUUAGCUUUUUUUGUUGUUGUCCUUCCCCGUGUGU
rnacentral:lncRNA from 1 species